GGGAUUGUGGCUCAGUGGUGGAGCACUUGCCUAGCAUGCAUGAGUCACUGGGUUCGAUCCCCGGCACCA
rnacentral:tRNA from 1 species